rfam:Candidatus Staskawiczbacteria bacterium RIFCSPHIGHO2_01_FTLL_41_41 rifcsphigho2_01_scaffold_1825, whole genome shotgun sequence.
UGCCUAAACUCUGUAAAUUUUUACGGAGCAUGGCAAAGACCACUGCGACAUAGAGAUGGCAUUUCUACCUGCCACACGUCGCAGUGGUUCCUAUUCGCGAGGAUAGGAGAUAAUAUCCGAAAGGGUGUUAUU